GGGCCCGUAGCUCAGUCGGUAGAGCAGGAGACUCAUAAUCUCUUGGUCCAAGGUUCGAGUCCUUGCGGGCCCACCA
rnacentral:tRNA from 1 species